rnacentral:rRNA from 1 species
CACGUAGGCACCAAGCGUUGUCCGGAUUUAUUGGGCGUAAAGAGCUCGUAGGCGGUUCGGUAAGUCGGGUGUGAAAACUCUGGGCUCAACCCAGAGCCGCCACCCGAUACUGCUGUGACUCGAGUGCGGUAGGGGAGCGGGGAAUUCCUGGUGUAGCGGUGAAGUGCGCAGAUAUCAGGAGGAACACCAGUGGCGAAGGCGCCGCUCUGGGCCGUGACUGACGCUGAGGAGCGAAAGCGUGGGUAGCAAACAGG